UACGAAGGGUGCAAGCGUUGUUCGGAUUUAUUGGGCGUAAAGCGCGCGUAGGCGGACCUGUAAGUCAGAUGUGAAAUCUCGAGGCUCAACCUCGAAACUGCGUCUGAAACUGCAGGUCUAGAAUCUUGGAGGGGGAAGGGGAAUUUCGCAUGUAGGGGUAAAAUCCGUAGAUAUGCGAAGGAACACCAGAGGCGAAGGCGCCUUCCUGGACAAGUAUUGACGCAUGAG
rnacentral:rRNA from 1 species